UACGAAGGGGGCUAGCGUUGCUCGGAAUCACUGGGCGUAAAGGGUGCGUAGGCGGGUCUUUAAGUCAGAGGUGAAAUCCUGGAGCUCAACUCCAGAACUGCCUUUGAUACUGAGGAUCUUGAGUACGGGAGAGGUGAGUGGAACUGCGAGUGUAGAGGUGAAAUUCGUAGAUAUUCGGAAGAACACCAGUGGCGAAGGCGACUCACUGGCCCGAUACUGACGCUGAGGCGCGAAAGCGUGGGGAGCAAACAGG
rnacentral:rRNA from 1 species